rnacentral:rRNA from 1 species
CAGCAGCCGCGGGAAUACGUAGGUCCCGAGCGUUAUCCGGAUUUAUUGGGCGUAAAGCGAGCGCAGGCGGUUAGAUAAGUCUGAAGUUAAAGGCUGUGGCUUAACCAUAGUACGCUUUGGAAACUGUUUAACUUGAGUGCAGAAGGGGAGAGUGGAAUUCCGUGUGUAGCGGUGAAAUGCGUAGAUAUAUGGAGGAACACCGGUGGCGAAAGCGGCUCUCUGGUCUGUAACUGACGCUGAGGCUCGAAAGCGUGGGGAGCAAACAGGAUUAGAUACCCCCGUAGUCCCUGUCUCUUAUACA